UGUUUGCACUUAGCGGCAAGGGUAAGAACCUUCGACUAUGGUUCGACUCGAGCGCCAGCGAGAGAACGUUGCCACAGGCAACGGCCCGAAGGGCGAGGAGAGAUAGCGACGAGUUAUCCUUCCCCCACCACCA
rnacentral:sRNA from 1 species